CUGUACCCGGCCUCUGACCCCAGAACAUGCGUGCGUGUCCUUUGCGUGACGUCACACGCACGCCAACCUCGUCACUACCGUGGGAAGACGUGGGGUUAUAAAUUGAAAUGGAUCCGCAGCGGCCGGCGUCCUUCAACAUGCUGCAGGAGUCAGAUACGCCGUAACAUGGCUGCUGAGUAGAAAGGCAUUUUCCAUUACGGACAGCGAACAUGUGACAUUACCCCCCAC